rnacentral:rRNA from 1 species
UACAGAGGGUGCAAGCGUUGCUCGGAUUUACUGGGCGUAAAGCGUACGCAGACGGUGAGGAAGGUCGGAUGUGAAAGCCCCGGGCUCAACCCGGGAACUGCAUCCGAAACCGCCUCGCUAGAGUAUGGGAGAGGAAAGCGGAAUUCCUGGUGUAGAGGUGAAAUUCGUAGAUAUCAGGAGGAACACCUGCGGCGAAGGCGGCUUUCUGGCCCAUUACUGACGUUCAGGUACGAAAGCGUGGGUAGCAAACAGG